UGCCAAUUGAACCUCUUGAUAGCAGGUGUUUUGAGUGGCUAUGUGUAUUUGCCCUUGAACCUCUUGAUAGCAGGUGUUUUGAGUGGCUAUGUGUAUGUGCCCUUGAACCUCUUGAUAGCAGGUGUUUUGAGUGGCUAUGUGUAUUUGCCCUUGAACCUCUUGAUAGCAGGUGUUUUGAGUGGCUAUGUGUAUUUGCCCUUGAACCUCUUGAUAGCAGGUGUUUUGAGUGGCUAUGUGUAUUUGCCCUUGAACCUCUUGAUAGCAGGUGUUUUGAUUGGCUAUGUGUAUUUGCCCAUGAACCUCUUGAUAGUAGGUAUUUUGAGUGGCUAUGUGUAUUUGCCCAUGAACCUCUUGAUAGCAGGUGUUUUGAUUGGCUAUGUGUAUUUGCCCAUGAACCUCUUGAUAGCAGGUGUUUUGAGUGGCUAUGUGUAUUUGCCCAUGAACCUCUUGAUAGCAGGUGUUUUGAGUGGCUAUGUGUAUUUUGCCCUUGAACCUCUUGAUAGCAGGUGUUUUGAGUGGCUAUGUGUAUUUGCCACUUGAACCUCUUGAUAGCAGGUGUUUUGAGUGGCUAUGUGUAUUUGUUACUGGUCUUCAGUUUCAGCCCCAUCUGAGGCAGCAUUAAGAGUUUAUACACUUAGUCUUUCCAUGCACAUUCAUACUGAAAAAGCAAAAUGUCUCUAGGAAAUUCAUCUGGUGGUCCUCUUAAGGAUAGUUUGCUGCAUUUACUAGACGUCUCACUUUGGCUAUGAAUUCCUCAAGGUAUAGGCUACCUUUGCUAUGAAUGAUGAAAUACCAAAGCUCUGUUCAAUAAGCUGUGGUUUUACAAAUGUCUUGAAUCUAUCCAGUAGCUGUCUAGUAAUUUUCCUUCCUCACUUAUCAGGCCACAGAUGUUAAACAGUUCAAACAGUACCCUACAGAUACUGCAGUAACUUGCACUGAAAAGUUCAUCACAUGUCUAUACAACUUGUAUCUGCUGUAUAACACAGCAAAAGCUGAUAUUUGUUCCAUUAUCUGGGAACGAUGUUCUGAUUGUGAUUCCUGUUGAAUAUCAUUUCUUGAUUGUAUGUGUACAUGUUUCUGUAUGGCUGCAAUAACCAAAGCCAGUAGUACAGCUUGCUUUAUCAGUGUCCAAUACAAUCCACACCACACUUCUGACGUGCACAUUGUGGAAACUUGUGUUUGGUGAAGACUGUUGAACAUAUCCAGGUGAGCUACAGUGUAUUUAUAAUCGGAGAUGUGUCACAUGUAACCAGAUAUCAGAAAUGUAUGACAAUGUUGCAAGAUUUACAUUAUUUUACUUCUUCUAAGAAGCAUGUGACGUCAUUGUAAUUGUCAUGUCGGAUUGAGGUUUGAUACAGUUGUCAUAGGAAGAUAGUUUGGAUGUCAUUCCGGAUCUGUACUUGAGUUAAGUGUAUAUUCAAUGUUACCCAAUAGACCAGAGCCAAAAUAUUGAGUGUCUGCACAUAAGUGUAACACUCACUAUCUAUGGUGGACUACUUUUCCUCGCUACAGCCUUCUUGUUUUCCUGGAAUGUUACUGAUGCCAAAAUGAAUUGUGAGUUAAUUACAUCCUGCAUGUUAAAAACACAUUGAAAUUGCAUUAAUAUGCAUCAGAGGAAUAUUUCAAGCAGAGACUUGUGUGUAGAUCUGCUGUACAUGUUGGAUUGAUUUUGUAGGAUGUGUGUCCCAUUCAAUGAAUGCUUUUGUUCUGAUUGUCAUGAAUGAAUUUGUAAGCAUGAGGAUAAUGCUGGGGACAGGAGGUGGAUCUUUAUUGAAAUAAUCAUGUUUUUCAGUGAAAAAUAUCCUCUUCAUCUGUUCAUCAAUGAAAUCGAUCUCACAAUAGACAGGCACUGACAUGAUCAUGCCAGGUAUUUUUACAUGGCAAUACAUUAUACCUGAUCCAUCUCUCCAGUAAAAGUACCAACUGAAUUCCCAGUGCUCCUGUUGCACAGAUUAUGGAGGUAUGAAGCAGAGGCUAUUCAGUUUAAGCUGGGAAACAACUUGGAAACAGUGAAAAGAAUAAAUUUAGAGUGUGGAUAUAUUUUUACGAAGCUAACUGCAGUAUCUUUUACUGAAUAGGAAUAGAUAGACAUAGCCCAAAAAUAAGGAACUGAAGCUGAAAGUGUCUGUGAUAUUCCCAGGUGUUACUGCAUUUACACAAUGCACAAUUUUGGGUCUCAUCACUCAUGACUGUGAAGGUCCAAUGUCAAAAUGUCAAUCUAGAAUUUGUGACCUUUUUAGCACAUUCAAGAUGUUCAGUAUACUGCAAACAAUGUCGGCAGAUCAUGAAUGAAUCAACCUGCAAAAUACACAUUUUGAUCAUCUGUAAGGAAAACCCAAUUUGGUUAUUCUCAGAUAUCACUGAUUACAGGGUGUAGCCAUUUGUAGGUAUGCAGUAUUUAUAUACAUUUCAGCAAGAAAAGUAGCUUGUGCCUUUUGUUGGGGAAAAAUGUUCAAAUGGUGAAUAAAGUGCUUCUCAUUGCA